CUGUCUCGGGCCCGCCUUCUCUUUUCACGUGACCCCUCCUCUCCUCUCCCUCUCGGCUCCAUAUUGAAUUUGAAACUGAAGGAAACGAGCCUGGUCACAAAAUGGAGGUAUCCAGGCCUGAAGCAUGUAAAAGCAACUAGAAGAAAGGGAGAACCUGGCUGCCUCCAUUAGUAACUGCUACUGCAUAAGAGGCAGAGAAGAAAAUCCAGACAGUAGCAUAACAGGAUAUUCUUCAGUGGCUGAAAUAAAAAAAAAAAAGUUAAAAGGAGCAACUGAGUUAGUGCAUCCUUCGAAAAUGUCUGGGAUCAAAGAGGAGAGAGAUAUUGAAGACUACAAGAGGAAAGGAAGAAGAUCUUCACAGGGCCAUGACCCAAAGGAGCCAGAACAGUUGAGAAAACUGUUCAUUGGAGGCCUGAGCUUUGAAACAACAGAUGAUAGCUUAAGAGAACAUUUUGAAAAAUGGGGCACGCUCACAGACUGUGUGGUGAUGAGAGACCCACAAACAAAACGUUCCAGAGGCUUUGGCUUUGUGACUUACUCUUGUGUGGAAGAGGUAGAUGCUGCAAUGAGUGCUCGACCACAUAAGGUUGAUGGGCGUGUGGUCGAGCCCAAGAGAGCAGUUUCUAGAGAAGAUUCUGUAAAGCCUGGAGCACACUUAACAGUAAAGAAAAUAUUUGUUGGUGGAAUUAAAGAAGAUACAGAAGAGUAUAAUUUGAGAGACUACUUUGAAAAAUAUGGCAAGAUUGAAACCAUAGAAGUCAUGGAAGACAGGCAGAGUGGAAAGAAAAGAGGAUUUGCUUUUGUAACUUUUGAUGAUCAUGAUACAGUUGAUAAAAUUGUUGUUCAAAAAUAUCAUACUAUAAAUGGACAUAAUUGUGAAGUGAAAAAAGCACUUUCCAAGCAAGAGAUGCAGACUGCUAGCUCACAGAGAGGUCGUGGGGGUGGCUCAGGCAACUUCAUGGGUCGUGGAAGUUUUGGAGGAGGAGGAGGAGGUGGUGGUGGUGGAAACUUCAGCCGAGGAGGAAACUUUGGUGGCAGAGGAGGCUAUGGUGGCGGCAGCGGUGGUGGUGGUGGGAGAAGUGGAAGCUUUGGGAGUGGUGAUGGAUAUAAUGGAUUUGGCGAUGGUGGGAACUAUGGAGGUGGCCCUGGUUACAGUAGUAGAGGGGGUUAUGGUGGUGGUGGAGGAGGACCAGGAUACGGAAACCCAGGUGGUGGAUAUGGUGGUGGUGGUGGUGGAGGAGGAGGUGGAUACGAUGGUUACAACGAAGGAGGAAAUUUUGGUGGCGGUAACUAUGGUGGCAGUGGAAACUAUAACGAUUUUGGCAAUUAUAGUGGGCAACAGCAGUCAAACUAUGGACCCAUGAAAGGAGGUGGCAGUUUUGGUGGCAGAAGCUCAGGAAGUCCCUAUGGUGGUGGUUACGGAUCUGGAGGUGGCAGUGGUGGCUAUGGUGGCCGAAGAUUCUAAACAGAACCAGAAAAAGGGCUACAGUUCUUAGCAGGAGAGAGAGAGCGAGGAGUUGUCAGGAAAGCUGCAGGUUACUUUGAGACAGUCGUCCCAAAUGCAUUAGAGGAACUGUAAAAUCUGCCACAGAAGGAACGAUGAUCCAUAGUCAGAAAAGUUACUGCAGCUUAAACAGAGAACCCUUCUUGUUCAGGACUGCCAUAGCCACAGUUUGCAAAAAGUGCAGCUAUUGAUUAAUGCAAUGUAGUGUCAAUUAGAUGUACAUUCCUGAGGUCUUCUAUCUGUUGUAGCUUUGUCUCUUUUUUUUUUUUUUUUUUUUUCCUCAUUACAUCAGGUAUAUUGCCCUGUAAAUUGUGGUAGUGGUACCAGGAAUAAAAACCAAUUAAGGAAUUUUUAACUUUUCAAUAUUUGUGUAGUUCAGUUUUUCCACAUUUAGUUCAGACUUUAACAAAAAUAAAGAAAUGUAGUUUAGGGUGUUUCUUGUUAAUGGAGAAGAUUGAUGAAUUUCUCAAUUACCAUUUUGUGUUAACUUUAACUGUAGAAACAUCUGCUAAUUUGUAGUCUAAGAGGUAUAGUCUCAAUGCAUAUAUGUAACUCCCAUUGACAUGAGCUUUAUAUAUAUGCAAAUAGAGAAACAUAUGUUGCAUUAUAGUUUUGUAUUAUUAGGAUUGAGUUAUUUAAACUAGUGUUUGUGAAUGAUUAGAAUUAAGCUUACUUUCAAAUGAAAAUUUCAAAUUACUUCUUGGUUUGUGCAUAUUUUUUAAUUUGUAGUUCUGUAUUACUUAGUGCUGGCUCUGCAAGAAAAUAAGGCAUGAUAAAUAUUUUAACAAGACUCUCUUUAGCUACAUUAAAACUGCCUACAGUCUCAUUUUGAGAUAUGUAGGGGAUACCUGCAGUCUCUUGUUCCAGUUCUGGGUGAAGAGGAGAUGGACUUGCGUUUACCUUUUUUCAAAUUCUUGUAAAGCUCAAAAGGGUGAAACUCAAGUGCCUGUUACCUUAGGGUAUGAAGUUAGAUAUUUUUUGGAUGAAAUUGUGCUUUGAAGAGAGCAGCCAUGAUGUCUUUCUCUUGAAUUAACUUUCAUUUGAAUGUGCUGUUGUAGUGAGAGAAUAGGUAUAUGUUGUAAAACAAUUUAAUGGCUAUAUGCUUCCUUGUACACACCCUAGGCAUUUUUUCUGGACACAUCCUUCUGACUUGGAACAAAGAGUAGCACAGGUAUAAUCCCUGACAGUCUCAGGUAAUGCAUUAAAAAGCCUCAUGAUGAUGGGCAAACUGUCAUAGUUAAAGUAUUUUACUUCUGAAGAUAUGCGUUCAAGUAAGGGAUCUAGAGUUAUUUAAAAAUAAACUUGGUCAUAUUUUAGUGGCAGGAAGUCUUUUUAGUUCCAUUGUUUGGGUUAGAUUUGAUACCAGUGUCAGUUUGCUUAAGAGACGCCCAUAAUCAAUUCAGAUAUGAUACACUGGAUGAUGGUGGUGUAUCAAAGUGGAAUACAAGCAGAGUAACUGGGUAGGUGACAGUAAUACUGAAAAGGAUCUGGGGGUUAUAGUGGAUCACAAAUGAGUCAACAAUGAUGCAUUUGCAAAAAGGGCUAAUAUUCUGGGGUGUAUUAACAGGAGUGUCUCCAUGUAGGACAUUUUGGGGUGGGGGGAGAGAUGGUGUUAAUUGUCCUUCUUUGCUUGGCACUGAUAAGCUUCAGCUAGAGCAUUUUGUCUAGUUCUGGGUGCCACACUUCAAGAAAGAUGUGAAUAAAUUGGAGAGUUAAGAGGAGAGCAAUAAAUAAAAGGCUUAGAAAACCUGACAUGAGGAAAGGCUAAAAAAACUGGGCAUGUUUAGUCUUGGGAAAAGAACAUGGAGGGGAGGACCUAAUAAGUCUUCAGCAAUGUUAAGGGUUUUUACAAAAAGGAUGGUAAUCAAUUUGUUUUCAGUAUGUACUGAAGGUAGGACAAGCAGUAAUGGGCUUAAUCUGCAGCAAGGGAGAUCUAGGCUGGAUAUUUAGGAAAUCCUGUUUAACAAUAACAAUAGUUGAGUUCUGGAAUAGGUUUCCAAAAUAGGCUCUGGAAAAUCCUUUUAAGAAAGAGGAUGGUCAAAAACCUAUCAAGGUUUACUUGGUCCUACCUCAGCAUGGGGGGAUGAAGUUGAUGACCCCUUUCCUCAACUUGAUUUGACUUUUCUCUCAACUCUUGCCAGAGCAGUGCUUUCUGUCAUACAGGCUCAGAAGAGUAGGGAUACAGUCAGUAGAAGGAAAAACCCCAGACUUUUGACAGUAUGUGAUGCUCAAAUUGCUCUCACCUGUUUCACCUCUCAGUCAAUGUGCAGUAUAAGGUAAAUGCAAUUCCAGCACAGGAAUCCAUCUUCAAAGAUGUUAUGAAAUGGCUUAAGUUACGAACAGUCAAACUACAAUAAGUUACUAUUUAAGAGGCUGUAGAAGAAAUAAAAAUCAAUAAAAUCAUUAAGCAAUGUUGCCAAACAUUGUUAUGGGAGUGUUUUCAAAUUUCAGAAUACUAAAGAAACAAGGAACACUGUCAAGGUUGGUAGGCACCAAACUGGAUUUUUUUUCUCAUCUGCUCAGGUUUUUCUUGUGGGAAUAUUCUAAAAUGAUUUUUUUAUCUCUAGUUUUAAAAAAACCCAAUUGUCCAGUAUCUGCAUGAAUCCAGACUAUAGUAGAAUGGCAUGCAUUGAGAUGGGAGUUUGAAAAAGUAGCACUUAAAUGAGAUACUUAAAUAGAGUUCCUUGGAGGUGUAGAGAAUGGCCAAACUUUAAAAGGUACAUCAAAUCUGGCAUCUGAUCUGGAUACUUGCAAAAUUGUGGAUGAGUUCUGCAGUCACACAACAUUUAGAUCACUCUUUGACCUGCAUGUGCAAAUGCUUGUUAACAAGGAGUUGGGUAAACCUGGAUCUGGAUCUGCAUCUGAUUGUAGGGAAAGAAUUAGGAUGGGCUGAGGUAAAGUCUUGACAGUGUUCUUUUUAACAAGGCCUCUGUAGCUGCCCUGUAACACUUACAUUAGUUUCAAGACUUGUUUGCAACUUGAAACAGGUUGAAGUCUGCAAGUGACUUGUUCCUAAGUGGGUGGGGUAGCUUAGUUGUGGUAUGCAAUAUGGAAAAGUGUAAGCUGUGAGACAGUGUUUAACCAGCUUUAAGAACCUAGGAUGUACUUCUUAGCAAAGUAUGGAUCAAAGGACUCAUAAGACAGGACUUCAGCAGCCUAUUGAGUAUGGACAAGUCAGCAUAAUUAAAGAAUGACAAGGCAGCAGCAGCAACAGCAGCUUCAACUUCCAGAGAAGUGAAGGCAUAAGAUACUAUGCUGAUAGUGAGCAGCUUUCCAAAGGCUAGUUAAAUCUGCUGAAAUAUCGAAGAAAGUCUAGCAAGAGUUCUUCACCUUUUGGAACCUCCUUGAGUGAUAGCCACUUGAGUUGACACAAAAUCAAUAGGUCUAGCAUUUAGACCUGAAAGGAAGGGCAAUGAGAUAGGUUGAAUGAGAAGCUGCAACUUGACAAAAUGAGAUGUCUUGCAUCUCUCUUCAGUUCAGAGGUUUCUGACUAGGUAAGACUUGUCCUGUACAACAAGCAUCUGAUCAUGACCCUUCAACUCACUCCCUUCUAGAUUUCCCUGCCCCCUCCUUUUUAUUAACUUGUAUUGAGCUUUUUCUUAGCUAGGAGAAAAGUGCAUUAGCAAAUCACAGCAUUCGCUGCUCAGAAUUAGAUAUUUUUUGUGGGUGUGAAAGCAGUUCUAUAUAAUUCAUUUCUCAACUGUUUGUAUCUUGCAAUAAUAUGUGGAUCAGUGAUUUGAGCAGUGGACUAUAGUCUUCCCACUGUUAAGAGAGCUUCUACAAAACCUUUUGACCACCAUUCAAAAUUGUUUUUAACAUGGUGACACUAGAGUAUUGCAGAUGAAAGCAUUCCUCCUAUUAACGAGAACAAUGAUCUAUUCCUUUGCAAAAGUUUAGGCUCUCUAAUGGCAUUAGUAAUUAGCAAAGGAAAUGACACAUCAGGAUAUGUAGGUCCAGUCUAAUUUUUCUUGUCCAGGCAGUUUUUUCCUUAGGAUGUCCUAUAACAAAUAGGGAUCACUCAAAGUGGAUUUUAGCUCAAAACAACGCUUUUAUUUAUGUGGAGACAAUAAAAUAACUUGUUCUAUUUUGCACAAGUCCUUGACUGUCUAGGAUAUUUGCUGUUUUUCUGUGUUCAUCUCUCUAGGCCUGAAGUUGUCAUGGUGGGGAAUAUUUCCAUUGUAGCCCUUUUUUACACUGGAGUCUAGUACCUAUUUUAAAUAAAACCUCAGUCAGAUAAAAUAAGAACUAGUAGAUAUUUUUACUUGGAACUAUUACUGUUCACUGAAAGUAGUCUUCAAGUACAACUCAGCCAGUACUGUCUGCUUAAAUUACACUAAAAUGAAAAAUUCAAAUGAAUACAUUUCACUUAAACAGUUUCAGCUGUUAAGUGUUAAUAUAUGGAUUUUGAUUAAUGCUAGAAUCCCACCAGUUGAAUCCUGUCAACAUCUCCCUGUGAACACCUAAAGAUCCAGCCUUUGAAAACUGGUGUGAGUCAUUCUUAAUUUUAUUUAGUUUUCAAUGUCUCAUGUGAUAAGUCUGAUUAGAGAUUUUUCUACAGAGUUAUUUUAGAUGGCAUGUUUAUAAACACCAUGAAAAUCUCACUUAGUGCAUUUUUACAAAUUAAAUGAAUGACAGUUAGUUAUUUCCCCCCACUCUAGGUUGAGCCAAGGUUGAAAAGGUAGUUUUGCACUGAGGCAGAAGGUUCUCUAUACCAUUCAUAGAGUACUAGAUACCCUUGUUGCAUUUGGUGACUAGCAUGCUUUCUUAGCCAGAGAUUGAAAAUUGCUUGUGCCUGCCUGCUGUAACCUUCCCAACCCUGGCUAAGAGGAACCUCUUCUGAAUGCACAUCAUCAACAAUGGGUCACUUUCUAGAUUAGAUCAUUGAUUUUUUUGCUGCAGCCUGCCCAUAGCAUCUUCAAGUGCUAAGAACAUACGGGGUAUCUAGGUAUACAGUUCCUGGAAAGUAUUUAGUUCAGUUGUAAGAUAUAUAGAUUGAUAUAUUGGUGAUACUUACGAUGACUCCAGAAAAUAGCUACAAAACAUCAGUCUUUUCUGUAGAUUUAUGUGCUUUGGAGAUUUUCUUAACAUUUUAAGUGUAAAGCUUGGAUAUCCAAGCUUCUGAAAUUAGCUUCCCAGUAUGCUUAUGUAAAAUAUUGAAUUAAUUUACUUCUGCUUACUGUCUUCCAAUUGCUUAUGUUUUAGUUUCAUCAGACAAGGAGAUGAACUAUUUACUUUAAAGAACAGUUGGACAGAUGGUAUAGCAGAAUAUGUGAAUUUCCAGGUAAUAUUUACACAGGCACUUUUAAGAGUGAGGAUUGUCCUGUUUUCAUGGACAACACUUUCCUUUCUCCAAACUGGUUCCAGUAUCUGAAGUGGAUCCCAAAUUUAUUUGGUGCAGUUGCUGAACUAGCAGUAGCUGCCAUGCUUGUGAACAAGUUUCUAAUUGGUUGCUUUGUAAAGUACUUUAGGAUACCAAGAGUAUGAAAUGUGCUAGAUAAAAUCAGAUUAUAAUAGAGGAUCCAUCUUAAUUUGCGGUCCUUGCUAUCAAGGAUAAAUAGUUACCAGGCAUUUGUUUCUACAUUGCAACUUACACACACAGAGAGAGAGACUGCAUCAAACUGGGCCCGUUGGGAAACAGGACAAAAUGCCACCUCCAUUCUGUGUGUGGACUGUCCUGUUUCCCAGCGGGCCCAGUUUGAUGCAGAGUGAGACUGAAAUUUGGUUUGCCACUAGAAACUUUGGAAAUCAGUCUGGUUUCCAGUAUUUUAAUGGGUGGAGGGAAAAGUUGUAGUCCUUCCCUGCAUCAGAAUGUCAUAAUGCCUUGUCUUACUGUCUUUUGCUAUGUGUUUAAGACACUUUGUACAGCGAAUAAAAUAACAUUUAGUUACUUCACUGGAGUAUUCCUUUAAAUAUCAAUCUGAUCCCAUUUAUCAAAGCUUGUAUUUUAAAAAUAUGCUUGAACAUAGUGAUACCAAGACAGUCUGGGGUAUGCUAACUUUCUAAUGUAUCUGAAUGAUUCUUUUUCUACUGUGGAUGCUGCAGGUUGACUCCUGUACCGCUAAGAUAACUUUUUCCUGAACUCAGUGGUGCAAGUCUAUCCAUCAUAGAAGAAAAGUGACCCUUCCAUAGAGGAUAAUGUCACAAGAUUUGAAAACAGAAAUUAAACCUAUAAUUAAAAUGUCAGAUAAAGGCUUAAAGGAUAAUGUAGUGAAACUGUACAGCUUGCAUUCAAACAAGUUUCAGAAAAGAACAUCCAUAAAUGUUAACUAUGUAUAUCAAAGUAUUGUUGAUAAUGCAUUUAUAUGUAUUAAAAUAUUUCUAAUUUUC